rnacentral:lncRNA from 1 species
UGCUGGCAUCAAGUAAGCCGACUACCUCGGCAAAGGCUUAGGGACAAGAGACCAGCAGCCUGAACUGGCUGGGGCAUCCGGAAGGCUUAGAUCUUGUGGCCAAGAGUUCAGACCGUGGCGAAGUGGAGAGUGACAUGCAGUUGGAUGGCGGUGACUGCGUGGUCCUGCAACCCUGGUUCCAGUCUGGCAAGCAUUGUAGACCUGGCUGCUGAAGACUGACGGGGCCCAGGGUCCGCUGCCCCCACCGCCAUCACCACCUCGGAACCCAGGGUAACGCUGUCAGUCUUUGUUCGUAGGCUUCAUGACAGGGCUGCAGAGCUUUGACAUCAAGUCGCUGACUCCUGGUGGCAAGGAUCAUCCCUUCUAAGAUGGAUACCCUGGGUUGCCCCCUUCCUAGGACCCCUGAUCUUCCUCUUCCUGUUACUAAUGAUUGGGCCAUGCAUAUUUAACCUUGUAUCCCGCUUCAUUUCCCAAAGGCUGAAUUGUUUUAUCCAGGCAAGCAUGCAAAAACACAUUGAUAAUAUAUUUCACCUUUGCCACGUCUAAUACCAGAGCCUACGAGGAAACCAUUCGGAAGCUCCAGAACCCAGGCCCUAAUCACAACGCCCCUAUCCAGCAGGAAGCAGCCAGAUGAUCAACGACGCCCUUUUUCCUUUUUAUACUAAAGUAAGAAAUAAGAAUGUUAGCCCAAACUGCACUAUUUUGCAGACCCCUACCAUUUUACAAACUGGUCAGAGUGGAAAAUUCCACCAGGGCCUGAGCUGUGAGAAACAUCCUGUCAGGCAGGUCCCAGGCCUAACCCCUGGCUGCACUAAAUUCCUUCAUUAUCAGCAGCCAAACACACCGCCCCCACCCCAUUUUCACAACAAUCCCAGACCUCUCCUGCCCGGGACUGUAACUGGUCCAGCCUGUAAGCGGGAAGGGGGCUCUGGCACUAGCUGGUACCCCCUCUCCGCAGGUCUUUCUCCCAAUAAAUCUGUGUUGCCAUU